UACGUAGGGGGCGAGCGUUGUCCGGAAUUACUGGGCGUAAAGAGCUCGUAGGUGGUUUGUCGCGUUGUUCGUGAAAACUCACAGCUUAACUGUGGGCGUGCGGGCGAUACGGGCAGACUGGAGUACUGCAGGGGAGACUGGAAUUCCUGGUGUAGCGGUGGAAUGCGCAGAUAUCAGGAGGAACACCGGUGGCGAAGGCGGGUCUCUGGGCAGUAACUGACGCUGGAGGAG
rnacentral:rRNA from 1 species